CAGCCGCCACGGUAAUACGAAGGGUGCAAGCGUUAAUCGGAAUUACUGGGCGUAAAGCGCACGUAGGCGGCUUGGUAAGUUAGAGGUGAAAGCCUGGAGCUCAACUCCAGAAUUGCCUUUAAGACUGCCGAGCUAGCAGGUGAGAGAGGUAAGUGGAAUUCCGAGUGUAGAGGUGAAAUUCGUAGAUAUUCGGAAGAACACCAGUGGCGAAGGCGGCUUACUGGCUCAUCCUAGACGCUGAGGUGCGAAAGCGUGGGGAGCAAACAGGAUUAGAUACCCCAGUAGUCCCUGUCUCUUACAC
rnacentral:rRNA from 1 species